GGUGAACGCUGGCGGUAGGCCUAACACAUGCAAGUCGAACGGCAGCACAGUAAGAGCUUGCUCUUACGGGUGGCGAGUGGCGGACGGGUGAGGAAUACAUCGGAAUCUACUUUUUCGUGGGGGAUAACGUAGGGAAACUUACGCUAAUACCGCAUACGACCUACGGGUGAAAGCAGGGGAUCUUCGGACCUUGCGCGAUUGAAUGAGCCGAUGUCGGAUUAGCUAGUUGGCGGGGUAAAGGCCCACCGAGGCGACGAUCCGUAGCUGGUCUGAGAGGAUGAUCAGCCACACUGGAACUGAGACACGGUCCAGACUCCUACGGGAGGCAGCAGUGGGGAAUAUUGGACAAUGGGCGCAAGCCUGAUCCAGCCAUACCGCGUGGGUGAAGAAGGCCUUCGGGUUGUAAAGCCCUUUUGUUGGGAAAGAAAAGCAGCAGGUUAAUACCCCGCUGUUCUGACGGUACCCAAAGAAUAAGCACCGGCUAACUUCGUG
rnacentral:rRNA from 1 species